CUCCCUCAUGUCUUUUUUCUAUUCUAGAAUCCCAUUGCAUCCAGGUUAUCACAUUUCAUUUCGUUGUCAUGUCUUCUUAGGCUCCUCUAGGCUACAGCAGUUUCUCAGGCUUUUCUUGUUUUUGAUGAUUUUGAGUUUUGAGGAGUACUGAUUAGGGUUUUGUAGACUGUCUCUCACUUGGGAUUUUUUUUUUUCUUAUUAUUAGACUGGCGUGAUUGGUUUUGUGAGGAGGACCGCAAAGGUGUCGCUUUCAUGUAGAAUUGAAGCUAUAUGAAUACAGGAGCUGGCUGUGUGUCUGUUUCCUGUUUUUCUUUCAAGAAACAUUUUAAAGAAUCUACCACAUGCCAGGACCCUGAUGAUGGUAUUGGCUCUACAAGGUUGGCUCCAUACACCAAUAGACCUAAGCAUGACUAAACGAUAUCAUAAAUAUGAAGCCAGCAAUUGCUGAUUGUGUGGUCUUAGGUGAGUUACUUAACUUCUCUUCAGUUUUCCUUGUUUGGGAGUGGGUAUAACCUACCUUAUUGUAAAGAAAUAGGCUUGUAAAGUAUCCAUCAACAUUCCUAGCAGAGCACAGUAGGUACGUCAAAACGACAGAGA